rnacentral:misc_RNA from 1 species
CGUCGGCGUUCCGCGGUGAACGGCGCCGCGUGCGCGCGGCCGGGGGCGAGGGGCGCGAACGUCACGGCAGGUGAAUAAAGGCGUAUUGCCUUCGCGGCGACUUCUUUCCAGUCCGAGAGAUACGCGCGCCGCCUCCGACCCUCGCCCGGAGAUGGCGCCACUCGCCCCCUCCGCCGGUGACCCUUCUCGCGGUCGACCUCGACGCUUUCCUUUCUUUCCCAUCGCGGACCGACCCGGUCUCGAUCGCCCCUUAACCGACGCAAGAAUCCAGACAUACGAAACGUCGCGAAUGGCCCGAUUUUCCGGGAAAAUUCGACCGUUUCGAUCGGUAUGGCCGUCGAGAAGACGACGCAAACGUAAAUGAGAAAUUACGCAACGCGGAUACCUCACCGAGGCGCGUCUCACGACUCCAACGAUUCGGGAAGACCGACUCGUGGGGAAUUCGAGUACCGGAGAGCGACUAGCUGCGUCGUCAUCGAAGCGGCAGGGAGGUGGCCUCUCUGGAUGUAAACAAGCAGCGGACCGGACGACGCUUCGCGUCCCGCUCGGAUUCUACGAACGCGUAACGUACGCGACCGCGGGCGUCUCGGUCUAGUUCCUUGCCGUUACGCCGACGCGUCUCGUUACGCGGCCGUUUAACGCCUCUCCCCGCGGUCGGCGACAUCGGCGUAUCGGACCACGGGCCGGGAUGUCGCGUCGCGCCGCGACCCUAAGCGGUAACGAAGAGGACGCGAAAGUGCAGGAGGCCGCAAAGGAGCAACGGCGCUCGGUCCUCGGUCCGGCCCUAAGGACGGCGGCCAUCGGCGCGGGAGUGCAGCCCCCGCUGCCGUCCGGCUACCGCGACGCCGUGCCGCCCCGAAGCGGGGACGGUGAUUCGACAUUUGGCGCCGCGGCGAUGGUGGCAGCCGCCACCGCUACGGCCACCGCCACAGCCAGCGUGGUGGCCAUGCAGGACCGCCAGGACAUACCCACGCAGUUCAAUCAGAUGCAAAGCCAACAUGGGAUACCCCACCAGGCGUACAACACGGGGUAUGCCCAACGAGGACCAAUGGCUGGGAUGGGGCCAGUCGGGAUAAACAAUUUUAACGGCAUGGGCUCGAUGGGUCCCAUGCACUCCAUGAAUUCCAUGAAUUCGAUGAACGGGAUGAGCGGGAUGAACUCGAUGAAUCCGAUGACCAUGGGAGGGAUGAACGGGAUGAACGGGAUGACCGGGAUGACCGGGAUGAGCGCCAUGGGUACCAUGAGCAACAUAGGCGCCAUGGGGAUGAGCACCAUGAUGGGACCCAACAACGUGCAGAUGAACAAGAUGAGCAUGCAGACUCAGCCCCAACAAGGUUACCCGAGGAGACUGGCUCCGUAUCCCAACCCGGCCAUGCACAUGGCGCAGAAGAGGCAGCAAGGUUCCUACGCCGCCCCGAAUCCCGCGGGCAUGCAGCCCGGUUUCAGUGGGCCGGGCAUGCCCACGGCCCAGUACCCGACCGGCGGCUAUCCGGCCACCAGGCCGAACUUCCAGCCCCAGUACCAGCCUAUGCAGAGCAUGAGCCCCGCCGGGGCUGCCGGGUUCGCCCCCGGUGCCAUGAUCCGCGGGGCCAGCAUGAGGCAGGCCACUCCGUCCUACAACGGCCCCACGCAAGCCGGUCAGUAUUAUGGCGCCAACGGGGUGCCGGUUAGCAUGGGGCCGACCAACGUCGGCAACCAAUUCGUCGGGCAUCAGCAGCCCACCCCGAGCUACGGGACCGCUACCUACGCCGCGACCAGCCAGUACCAGCAGGACGUCUCCACGAUGAGGACGCCGGGCGCAGGGAACAUGACCUACCAGCACAGCCCCAUUCCCGGUAACCCGACGCCGCCGUUGACGCCAGCCAACAGUAUGCCUCCUUACAUCAGCCCCAACCCGGACAUCAAACCUAAUUUCAACGAGAUCAAGUCUCCGGUCAAUAUUCAGAAGGACGACGAGCUGAGACUAACAUUCCCCGUGCGGGACGGCAUAAUCCUCCCACCUUUUCGCCUGGAGCACAAUCUGGCAGUAAGCAACCACGUGUUCCAGCUAAAGUCUACGGUCCAUCAAACGCUGAUGUGGCGGUCGGACUUGGAACUCCAACUCAAGUGUUUCCAUCACGAGGACCGGCAGAUGAACACCAACUGGCCAGCCUCGGUUCAGGUGUCGGUCAACGCGACUCCUCUCGUCAUCGACAGAGGCGAGAACAAAACCUCUCACAAGCCUCUAUACCUGAAGGAUGUAUGCCAACCGGGUCGUAACACUAUCCAGAUUACGGUAUCGGCGUGUUGCUGCUCCCACCUGUUCGUUCUUCAAUUGGUCCAUCGCCCGAGCGUACGAAGCGUCUUGCAAGGACUGUUACGAAAAAGGCUGCUCACCGCGGAGCACUGCAUCACGAAGAUUAAGAGGAACUUUAACAAUACCAUGUCGAGCAAUGGUAUGCAGCCCGAGAAAGACGUCGUCGAACAAACAGCACUAAAGGUAUCGUUAAAAUGUCCUAUCACCUUCAAACGUAUAACACUGCCAGCGAGAGGGCACGAUUGCAAGCACAUACAGUGCUUCGACCUGGAAUCGUACCUGCAAUUGAACUGCGAAAGGGGGUCCUGGAGAUGUCCUGUUUGCACUAAGCCCGCGCAAUUGGAAGGCCUGGAAGUCGACCAGUACAUGUGGGGUAUUCUGAACACGACGCUGAACACGGUGGAAGUCGAAGAGGUAACGAUAGACUCGGCGGCCAACUGGAAACCGGCGAAAAGCUUGACUGGAAUCAAAUCCGAAGAAGAGAACGACUGCAAAAGAUUGACGAAAGCGAUGUCGCCGGGUAGUAUGAACAUGCCGACGAUGAACAACUGGGACAUGAACCAGGCGAUGAGCCCUUACAUACCACCGGACAUGAACAGUAUCGUUAGCGGUUCCAUGAUGAACAACACGCCACCCAAUUACGGAACCAACGGCAUAAAUCAUCGGAAUUCCUCCGGAGGGUCGUACGAUAUCAACUCCGGAUCGAACACAUCCGGGAGCAACGAUUAUUCCAACGGGGCAGGACCCCUCUCGCACUUAAACGAUUCCGUGAAUUCCCUGGACCCUCUCAACGCGAUGGAGAAGUCACUUAACGACCAGAUGCCCCAUACGCCGCACACGCCGCACACCCCUCACACGCCGCACACACCUGGCGGAGGUAACAGCGGACCACCCAGCGUUCCCCCGGCUUCGCAGGAAUCCACCGGGAAUCACAACUCGUCCGGCGGUACGAAUACGAACCUCGGUAACGACACCACGGACAUACCUUCGGACUUGAAUUUUGACCCCGCCGCGGUCAUCGACGGCGAAGGCACGGGUCAAGAAGCUCUGAACCUGUUGCCGGACAACGUGGUCGAUCCCAUGGAAUUGCUGUCUUAUCUGGAUCCACCGGAUCUGAACACACCACCCAGUAGCGGAGCCAGCAGCGGUAAUCCGUCAUCGAGCGACGACAUUCUAGCGCUCUUCGAAUAAGAACGGACAAGGUUUAACGACCCUGUAAAAGGAAUAAUCAAAUUACUGCCUCGAAACUGGGGAAAGUGACCACCGGAGUCGGCGCGUCACUGCAAACCGCUCCCAAGCCCGACUUGGGCAUUUGCAGGGAGUGCGAAGAGAAGACGGGAGGGGGUGGUCACUGUGGGUGCUCUCACCUAAACAAUGGUACAAACGAUCUUAGCUCUAAUUGUAAUAUUCCUAUUGACGAAGUUAGGGCAUAUAUUAUAGGUAUAGAACGAUGACCUCUAUCGGCGAGACGACGGACGUCCCGUCGACGCUCGCUCGUAAAGACCAUAUUGCACGGACUGGGCUUCGCAGCCGGAUAGAUUUCGUUCUCGACGCGAAACCGUGUAAACGAUGCGCGUCGCGUUGUACGCUCGGCCGUAUCAAACGUCUCGUGCACUCGGUGAAAUGCUCCUUGCAGUAUUGCCUUUACCUGGAAAUACGGUCUACUCGCAUUGAAGGCUAUGACGGACCUACAUCACGAGAAACUACUGCUAACUUUAGUGACGGCUUGUGGGGGCGAGUUGAGCCUAGGGGCCACCGGGCUUCACCCUGGAUACGAUCAAACGAGCACGAUGUAUCUCCGCUGAUACUGUGACGCGACUUCGUGGUACCGAUUCAUUUGUGACGAUCGACCAACCGGAGAUAUAUAUUCCUACGAGGUAAGCCGUGGAAGUAAGACGUUACGGGCAUCCCGUAGUAACGAUGUGCUAUAUUCUAUCAAUUUACGGUAUUAAUCUACGUUAAUUUAACGGAACAGUAGCGGUUAAAUAGUAGUCUCCUAAACGUGGCUGUUUAUUUGAAUCAUACAUCGGACGACGGUUUUGUUUUCACGUUAUCAAGUGAAUUCUGAAGGACUGAGGCCAAUCGCGAAGUUAUUUCUUCUUCUUUUUUUUUUUUUCCUUUCUCUCGGUUUAACGUGCACGCAACUCUCCUCUUUGAUUACGAGCGCAACUAACAGGGGGGGAAGAGAAUUUCUGCUGAAAACUUGAAACACCAAUUUCAUCAGUAUUAUGUCCGCGCGAUUUCGCGACACCCGGAGAAGAUAAACGUCUUUCGGUCGGAGCACAAUUUAGCCCGUUAUCGUGCAUCGCUCACGUGAAUUAACGUUGCAUAGGAAAGCUCGUUUUUCUUUUUUUUUUUUCUCGCACUCGAGAACGGUUCGAGCAAUUUUCGCAAAUUGUAUUAUCGGUAUCGGAGUGAAAUCGGACAAAGGGAUUUUAUCGGCACCCUCGAGGAACCGCGCCGAGUGAGCGGUCGAAAAUUCUAAGCUAUCGAGGGAAACUCGGCAAACCGAUUCGACGCGGAUCCGUACCAGAUCGGACGUGCCUACGUAAUGCGAGAAAUACUGCCAGAGUGGCACCGCCCAUAACUCCCCUGCUUGCGUAGUGGUUACUACAUUUAUAUCCUUUGUGAUUAAAAGAGGAGAUAUACUUAAAGUGAUUCAUGUAGAUUAUACAAAUUUUAUAUAAAAAUGUAUUUAUAUUCUGAUACGCCCAUAAACCGGCGUACAAUGAUGAAUUAGAUGCGGUCAAGUUUCUAUUCACAUAAUUACAGUAUAACAUCACUGAAGUUAGAUUUUAAUAUUACUUAUAUUAAGUGCGACUAUUGUAUAUUAUUUGUAUAUAUGACAAAUAGAUUAAUAAUAUAAGAAAA